GGUUACGCCUUUUUCUAAACUACUGAUUCGUAAUCAGUAGGUCCGGGGUUCAAAUCCCUGUUGCGGCACCA
rnacentral:tRNA from 1 species